AUUCAAAGCUCGCGUCCCUUCAAGUUGAAUCUUCCGGCUUUGUGCGAUUUACCCUCUCAAACUUUCUAGUUUGCAAGUCAGAAUUACUUUGAACGUCCCCUCUUCUGGACUCCCCUCCCCAAAGGGACUGGCGGCAAAGGAGAAUAGAAUGCAGAUGGUUAAUAGUUCAAAUGAAAUUUAAAAACCUAUAAACCAAUAUUUUUUUAGAGGAGAAAAGCGUUCACCAAACCGCCACCCGGCAAGCGAGCAUCCGAUUUCCAUCCGGAGGAAAAAAUAUUUUAAAAACCAGACAUAAAAUUCCCUUUGCAAGAAAAGUGGCCUCUAAACUCCCUUGCCAAGGACACUGGGAGGAAGCAGAAAAGCAAAGACCAAGCUCGUACUUUUCAGUCCGCGGCUUGUGUGCCGCGAGGAGAGGCGCAAAGGGUGACACACCAGGAAAGCAGGUAGCAGGCAAGAGUGUGGUUAUCGUUGGACCAGGAUUCAGGAUCUGACUGAGUAGCUGACUCUUAAUCCAGUUUGUGUUGAUCACCAGGAGGAUCUGGACCUCAGUAUUACCACAUCUAGAGCUAUAAUCACAUCCCUGUUAAGCCUUCCUGAGAUCACACCAAAUGUCCUUGAUGGGAAUUGUAAACAACCCUUACUUCUGGUUUCUAAUGAUAUUCCAGGAAAGGAGCCUAACUAGAGUCAGUGAUAUGCCAACUCCACCUUUGCCUUCCACCAUGUUUGGAAGCUCCCUGAGGCCUCACCAGGAGCAGAUGCUCGUCCCAUGCUUCCUAUAAGCCUGCAGAACUGGAAAAGAAAGCUGGAUAAAGUAUUUAUAGAAGAUAGAGGACCUGUGGUGGCUCAUGCCUGUAAUCCAAGGUGGAAGGAUUGCUUGAGGCCAGAAGUUCAAGACCAGUCCAAGCAACAUAGCAAGGCCCCAUCUCUACAAAAAAUGAAAAUAAAAUUAGCCGAGCGUGAUGGCUCAUGCCUGUAGUUCUAGCUUCUAGAGAGGCUGAGGCAGGAGGAUUGCUUGAGUCCAGGAGUUCAAGAUUACAGUGAGCUAUGGUCACACCACUGCACUCCAGCCUGGGUGAUGGAGUGAGACUGUCUCAAUAAAAAGACAAAAAGGCUGGCCAGGGGCAGUGGUUCAUGCCUGUAAACCCAGCACUUUGGGAGGCAAAGGCAGGAGGAUUGCUUAAGCCCAGGAAUUUGAGAUCAGCCUGGACAACAUGGUGAGACCCCCAUCUCUACAAAAAUUUUUUUUAAAAGUUACCCAGGCAUGGUGUUGCACAUCUGUGUUCCCAGCUACUGGGGAGGCUGAGACGGGAGGAUCACUUGAGUCCAGGAAGUUGAGAGGUUGAGGCUGCUGUGAGCUGUGAUUGUGCCACUGCACUUUAGCCUGGACAACAGAGGGAGACCCUGUCAACAACAACAACAACAACAAAAAAGCAAAACAUCAUAGGCUGCAGAAAUAAACUUUCUUGUCAAUUGUGUCUUUAACCAUGACCAUUUUGAGUCAUUUCCACAGUGAGUUGCCUAAUUUUGAUGCAUUUCUGAAAACUCUUUAUAAGCAAGUAAAAUCCUAGAGAAUUGUGCCUUCAAGGAGACUCAUGGAAAGGAUGGAAAGAACUCUUGAAUACAUGUUUCUGAUAGCUUUAUGAUCAUAUCAUUUGGACUGGGUAAGAAUUCCCAGAACUCAUGAAGAGACUGACUAUUUAUUAAUCCAAGCAGGAAAAGAAUUAAUUGAAUACCAAGGAAAUACUGUGCCAGAGAUUUUCAUGCUAAAUCAGUCAGCACCGAAAUCGUUAAGAUGUGUAGUUUGAAUGAACUCCAUGAUCCUAGUCAAAUUUCCUAUGAUGACCCAUUUAAUAAACAGUGCUAUGCACCUGAAUUGGAGAAACAGAAUUGAUACUUAAAUCCAAUGUUAAUCAUAGAUUCAUGGAAAGCCUAAAUGGCUGCUUGGGUCUUCCUGAGCCCUUAAAGCUUCCAUUAUUAAAGGCUCUGCACUUUAUAAGUUAUCACUGAAGAGAGAAAAUGAUCCAGAUUUAAAAUACACAUAUUGGUGUGGUGAAUGUUCUAAAUUGCGAAAAUGGUUUAUGACCAACAUUUGGUUUGUCAUGCUCACAAUCCUGGAAAUACAUUCAAAACUUCAGGUACAUUUCUGCUACCUGAUGGGCUAUUUGAAUAUAUAGAGAGGGAUUUCAUUCAAUUGCCAUUUUCAUUGCAUGUUUUUUGGUUGUAUAGAAGCUUUCCCAUGCAAGGAGGCUGAUGCUGUUAUUACAGUAGCUAAAAGGUUAGUAGGAAAUGUGUUUUCCCCCAUGGGGCAUUCCUGGAGAAAUCUCUAGCAAUAAAGGUACUUGUUUGACUGGACAAGUUGUAAAACAGUUUAAUAAGGUUUUUUUUAGGUGUCAUAGCAUUAGGCAAAGCUAACUGAAUUGACUGGAUUGUCAUAGUCAAACAUAUUGCAGAUCCGCUUCCAAUAGAAGACAAUGAAAUAGUCACUGGAAAGCCUGUGCUCCUAAUUUUAGAACCUCAUGUAUCUUCUGCUCCUAAACUCUGAUAGGACUAAAUGCUGUGAGGCCUCAAUGCAUUAUGUUAAUGUGUAUUUUCACCAGGUCAAGGAAGCUUUUCCUGAUCCACUAACUAAGGACAAUCAAACCCUUCAUGAUCUAGAAUCUGGAGACUGUGUCUUCUGGGAAUAGUAUCAGAGAAAGACUGCCCUUACUGCCCACAUGUAGCAAAACUUUGAGACGUUGAAUUAUGGGUCCAUAAUCUCACAACUCAGAGGGGCACCUCUAGACUCUUGGAACUGUAUAUCUAUUGGAGACUUUAAGGUAAAGCUGAACAGAGAGACGUUUUUCUCCAGAAGCAGACAGCACCAUAGUCAUGGACAGCUUUCCCAAGAUCACAGAUCAAGACUUCUCUGCCGUCAUGAGACUCAUAACCUCUUAAUUUUUUCUUGCUUAUGCUUCUGUGAACAAUAGAAUUGGAAAAGGGGUGGUCCCGCGUGCACCCAUAGGGUAUACUUUUAUUUGUGGAGGAUUUUGCUGCCAACCUUAUACAUGGGCAAACUUAUGCCUUCAUGGAUGGAAGAUAAAGGGCUAAUAUGGGUUAGAAAUUUUAAUGGUACCUUUGUUUCUCCAUAAUCAUUCAGAAACAGAACACUGGUCCACUCUUGUUAACCUACAUCAUAGGUUGAAGAGAACAUUGCCAGGAGGCCUUCAUCCUUCCAGAUGGGCACCAUUUGUUGGGUCUUUUUCCGUGGUAUGAAGAAAAUGAAGCAAUGAUUAGAAAUUGGUCCCUCGGCCGGGCACAAUGGCUCAUGCCUGUAAUCCCAUCACUUUGGCAGGCCGAGGCGGGUGGAUCACCUGAGGUCAGGAGUUUGAGACCAGCCUGACCAAUGUGGUGAAACGCCAUCUCUACUAAAAAUACAAAAAUUAGCUGGGUGUGAUGGUGCACACCUGUAAUCCAGCUACUCGGGAGGCUGAGACAGGAGAAUUGCUUGAACCUGGGAGGCAGAGGUUGCAGUGAGCCAAGAUCACCCCACUGCAUUCCAGGUUGGGCAACAGAGCAAGACUCUGUCUCAAAAAAAAAAGAAGAAAGAAAGAAAUUGAUCCCUCAUAAUAGGCUGUAUAGCAGAUUCUACUGCAAAGGCUAUGGUUGCACAACAGACUUCUUUGAAUUUGCUUGCUAAACUUUUACUGGAUAAUACUGGGAUUACAGGUGUGAGCCACUGUGCCCAGCCUCUCCUGUUUAACUGUAUUCAUUCUAAUGUUUACUUACUUCUUUAAUUUGUAAAAUUGGGUCACUUAGAGUUUUUUUAGCCUAUCUUGCCAUUUAGCCACUGUUACUGAUAAUUUGGAUGGAAAAGAAAAAUAAAUUAUAUCACCUCUCA
rnacentral:lncRNA from 1 species